AACGAACGCUGGCGGCAGGCUUAACACAUGCAAGUCGAACGCACUCUUCGGAGUGAGUGGCAGACGGGUGAGUAACGCGUGGGAACCUACCUUGUGGUGCGGAAUAACUCAGGGAAACUUGAGCUAAUACCGCAUGUGCCCUUCGGGGGAAAGAUUCAUCGCCACAGGAUGGGCCCGCGUCGGAUUAGCUAGUUGGUGGGGUAACGGCCUACCAAGGCGACGAUCCGUAGCUGGUCUGAGAGGAUGAUCAGCCACACUGGGACUGAGACACGGCCCAGACUCCUACGGGAGGCAGCAGUGGGGAAUCUUGCGCAAUGGGCGAAAGCCUGACGCAGCCAUGCCGCGUGGAUGAUGAAGGUCUUAGGAUUGUAAAAUCCUUUCACCGGUGAAGAUAAUGACUGUAGCCGGAGAAGAAGCCCCGGCUAACUUCGUGCCAGCAGCCGCCGUAACAC
rnacentral:rRNA from 1 species